CUGUAAACGGCAAACCGCAUGAAAGUGCGGGACGCAAAGCCAGGGGGCUAAGGCGAAUAUGCUAUGCACGCCCGGCUGCCG
rnacentral:ncRNA from 1 species